CACAAAGGAAAGCACUAUAUGAAACUAUAUGAACAUUGUCGAUGUAGAAGCCGAUCUUAGUUGUUUACUGGCAACUGUGCAACUGGCCCGACCCGGCGCGGCUCGACUGGCACAGCGGCUCCCGAUGACGUCAUUCAAUAGACUUCGCAGUGCCCCUAAAAAGUAUUUAGGGGAAAUAGGGGACUGAGAAUUAAAAAAUAGGGGACUAUAAAAAUGUUUUAAAUAAAGAAAAAAAAAUAAUUUAUUUAUAAGAACACAAAGUUUAGUACAAUUUUUAAAUACUGCUUUAAGAAAUUGUACAGUACAAUAAGGAGUACAACGAUAAUUUUGGUGCCGAUAAAUUUUCGCAAAUGAAUCAUCAAUGGAAAAAUUUUUACUUUCUUUUAGGCAAAUGCACGAUAAAAAUUCUUGGAUCUGUUCCCAAUUGGUGGAUAUGAUAUUAUAUAAUAUCAUAUAUAUAACUAUAGUUAAUACUGAUUAAUACUUUAAAAAAUAUUAGAAAAGUAACACAUUGAAUAUUCUUAAACUAAGUUCUCAAACUAAAAUGCGUUUGAUAUAAUUUCUUAAGUUAAGAAGGAAGUUUUAGUCAGUCGUACUUCUGCAUAAUUAUCUGCUGAGCUUGGGAAAAAUGAAACUAGAAACUUCAUCUUGAUAGCGUUGGAAAGUUUAUUAAAUUCGGGAAAGAAUGUUAUCUAGUUAAAAGACAUUCCUUAAGUAGAUUUUAAAAUAUGUUACAAAGUUAAAAAAAGAAGUAAUUUUUUUAGAAUUGCAUACUUUGGCUUUAACGCUUGGUAGAUUCAAGAGAAAUUAAACAAAAUAAUGGCCCUUUUACAUAAUCACUGCUUAGAAUCUUAGCUUUCUAUUAAUCCUAAGAUCAGAGCACAAUUUUUAGUAUUAUUUUAGAGCUGUGCAAAAUUCGAACCGAACCGAGUUUAGUUCGGUUUUGGGGCGCCGAAAUGUCGAAUGUCGAAUAUUCGACAU